GCCUCUGUAGCUCAGUGGUAGAGCGUUUCCUUGGUAAGGAAAAGGUCGCGUGUUCAAUUCACGUCGAAGGCU
rnacentral:tRNA from 1 species